rnacentral:rRNA from 1 species
AAUCAACGCUGGCGGCGUGCCUAACACAUGCAAGUCGAACGAGAAAGUGGUAGCAAUACCAUGAGUAAAGUGGCGCACGGGUGAGUAACACGUGAUUAACCUACCUUUGAGUGGGGGAUAACCUCGGGAAACCGAGGCUAAUACCGCAUAACAUCGCAAGAUCAAAGCAGCAAUGCGCUUAAAGAGGGGGUCGCGGCUGAUUAGCUAGUUGGCGGGGUAAUGGCCCACCAAGGCGAAGAUCGGUAUCCGGCCUGAGAGGGCGCACGGACACACUGGAACUGAAACACGGUCCAGACUCCUACGGGAGGCAGCAGUGGGGAAUUUUGCGCAAUGGGGGAAACCCUGACGCAGCAACGCCGCGUGGAGGAUGAAGCCCCUUGGGGCGUAAACUCCUUUCGACCAAGACGAUAAUGACGGUACUGGUGGAAGAAGCACCGGCUAACUCUGUGCCAGCAGCCGCGGUAAUACAGAGGGUGCGAGCGUUGUUCGGAAUUAUUGGGCGUAAAGGGCGCGUAGGCGGUGCCACAAGUCACCUGUGAAAUCCCCGGGCUUAACCCGGGGCCUGCAGGCGAAACUGUGGUGCUGGAGUAUGGGAGAGGUGCGUGGAAUUCCCGGUGUAGCGGUGAAAUGCGUAGAUAUCGGAAGGAACACCUGUGGCGAAAGCGGCGCACUGGACCAUAACUGACGCUGAGGCGCGAAAGCUAGGGGAGCAAACAGGAUUAGAUACCCUGGUAGUCCUAGCCCUAAACGAUGAUUGCUUGGUGUAGCAGGUACCCAAUCCUGC